CGAUAACGAACGAGACCUUAACCUGCUAAAUAGUUCUGCGAACCUGCGUUCGUAGCUAACUUCUUAGAGGGACUGACUACGUUUAGUGGUCGGAAGUUUGAGGCAAUAACAGGUCUGUGAUGCCCUUAGAUGUUCUGGGCCGCACGCGCGCUACACUGAUCGGUUCAUCGAGUUUACAACCUUGAUUGAUAGGUCUGGGUAAGCCGGUCGUGCUGGGGAUAGAUCAUUGCGAUUAUUGAUCUUCAACGAGGAAUUCCUAGUAAACGCGAGUCAUCAACUCGCAUUGAUUACGUCCCUGCCCUUUGUACACACCGCCCGUCGCUACUACCGGAUUGAAUGGCU
rnacentral:rRNA from 1 species